rnacentral:rRNA from 1 species
CGCCUGCCGGCGACCGGCGCACGGGUGAGUAACACGUAUGCGACCUGCCCCCCGCAGGGGGAUAACCGGGAGAAAUCCCGACUAAUACCGCGUAACGCCGCGGACCUGCAUGGGUCUGCGGCCAAAGGAAGCGAUUCCGGCGGGGGAUGGGCGUGCGGCGCAUUAGCUAGUCGGCGGGGUAACGGCCCACCGAGGCGACGAUGCGUAGGGGUUCUGAGAGGAAGGUCCCCCACACCGGUACUGAGACACGGACCAGACUCCUACGGGAGGCAGCAG